UGGGGAAUUUUGGACAAUGGGCGCAAGCCUGAUCCAGCAAUGCCGCGUGCAGGAUGAAGGCCUUCGGGUUGUAAACUGCUUUUGUACGGAGCGAAACGGCUUCUUCUAAUACAGGGAGCUAAUGACGGUACCGUAAGAAUAAGCACCGGCUAACUACGUGCCAGCAGCCGCGGUAAUACGUAGGGUGCGAGCGUUAAUCGGAAUUACUGGGCGUAAAGCGUGCGCAGGCGGUUAUAUAAGACAGAUGUGAAAUCCCCGGGCUCAACCUGGGACCUGCAUUUGUGACUGUAUAGCUAGAGUACGGUAGAGGGGGAUGGAAUUCCGCGUGUAGCAGUGAAAUGCGUAGAUAUGCGGAGGAACACCGAUGGCGAAGGCAAUCCCCUGGACCUGUACUGACGCUCAUGCACGAAAGCGUGGGGAGCAAACAGGAUUAGAUACCCACGUAGUCCCUGAGCGGGCUGGCAAGGCGCAU
rnacentral:rRNA from 1 species